UGGAGUAAGAAUUUGAAGCCCAGCCGCGUGAUUGGCCCAGGAGCACUGGCGAAAAUGGGUCCCCCUUGAAGCAUGAUGUUUCAAAGGUGGUCCUAUGUGUUUAGAUGGUCCAAGGCAGCUGACUGCAGAACCCCAAGGAGCCCCAAGGCUAGUGCUGGCUCACUAGUGGUGGGCAGAGUCGGGGUCCAGAAGACUCUGGUGCAGUUGCCAGCCCAAUGUCAUCAGAGAGCAGACAUCAAAACUUCAGAUGUAAGAAGAAUUCUGGGCUAAAAAUACCUUGAAGUCACCGGCCUGCAUGUGACAAUCAAAGCCUUGGAUGGAUGUGACACUUCAGGGAGACAAUAGAGUGGGAAACAGACUUGGAAUUGAGUCUGCCAAGAACUUCAGGAUCCACUGACGACAAAGAAGAGCAAGUGGAAUACUAGUGGAACUAAACCCAGAAGUCCUAACCUUGGCCUCAUCGAUAGCUGAGUACCCGAAAUUCCUCCCAGGAAGCGAAGUCACUAAGACAGUUCUCCGAGACGGAAUACACAUGUGCAUACACAGAAAACCCACAAGGUAGCAACAUCUCUGCAAACACAGUGAAGAGUAAAACCAGGCAAAUAUGGAGUUCACUGGAUGGAUACUUUGGAUUCAGCCUUUAAUGCUCCUUCGUGGAAAGGCCUUCGUGGAAAUGGCCAUGUAUGCCUGGAAACUGUAACAGCCCCUUUGGCUGCCGUAUACAGAGGACCUGAAUGACAACAAUGGCAUCCUAAAAAAGAACAGACAAGUGAAGGUUUUCUGGUGGAUCCGGAACAUCUGAUUAAUAAUGAAAAAUAAUGGUGAGGAGAAGGCAGAUCAUUGCCUUUGUCGAUCCCACUUCCUCACUCAGGCACACUGCAAGCCCCCUUCUCUUCGGGGCCCGUCUCCACUCUGAACUGCCAAAUCUCACCAAUCC